rnacentral:miRNA from 1 species
UGGCAGUGAGGGUGGGGUUUCC